rnacentral:sRNA from 16 species
CCCCGCAAGCCUCUUAACAAUGCUCAAAUUGCGGGGU